CAGUAGCCACGGGAAUACGGGGGGGGCGAGCGUUGUCCGAAGUUACUGGGCGUAAAGCGCGUGUAGGCGGGUUGUUAAGUCCGCUGUGAAAGCCCGGUGCUCAACGCCGGAGGGUCGGUGGAUACUGGCAGUCUUGAAGUGGCUAGGGGGAAAUGGAAUUACCGGUGUAGCGGUGAAAUGCGUAGAUAUCGGUAGGAACACCAGUGGCGAAGGCGGUUUCCUGGAGCUAACUUGACGCUGAGACGCGAAAGCUGGGGGAGCAAACGGGAUUAGAUACCCGGGUAGUCCCUGUCUCUUAUAC
rnacentral:rRNA from 1 species